ACGUCAUCCCCACCUUCCUCACAGUUUGCACUGGCAGUCUUGUUAGAGUUCCCGACCUGACUCGCUGGCAACUAACAACAGGGGUUGCGCUCGUUAUAGGACUUAACCUGACACCUCACGGCACGAGCUGACGACAACCAUGCAGCACCUUGUAGACUGUCUUGCGAAAGUUCUGUUUCCAAAACGGUCAGUCUGCAUUUAAGCCUUGGUAAGGUUCCUCGCGUAUCAUCGAAUUAAACCACAUGCUCCACCGCUUGUGCGGGCCCCCGUCAAUUCCUUUGAGUUUCAAACUUGCGUUCGUACUCCCCAGGUGGGAUACUUAUCACUUUCGCUUAGCCACUGAAGUCGCCCCCAGCAGCUAGUAUCCAUCGUUUACGGCGUGGACUACCAGGGUAUCUAA
rnacentral:misc_RNA from 1 species